GCAAGUCGACGAUGAACCACUUCGGUGGGGAUUAGUGGCGAACGGGUGAGUAACACGUGGGCAAUCUGCCCUGCACUCUGGGACAAGCCCUGGAAACGGGGUCUAAUACCGGAUACUGAUCAUCUUGGGCAUCCAAGGUGUUCGAAAGCUCCGGCGGUGCAGGAUGAGCCCGCGGCCUAUCAGCUUGUUGGUGAGGUAAUGGCUCACCAAGGCGACGACGGGUAGCCGGCCUGAGAGGGCGACCGGCCACACUGGGACUGAGACACGGCCCAGACUCCUAACGGAGAGGGCAGCCAAGUGGGGGAAAUAUUGCACAAUGGGACGAAAGCCUGAUGCAGCGACGCCGCGUGAAGGGAUGAACGGCCUUCGGGUUGUAAAACCUCUUUCAGCAAGGGAAGGAAGACGAAAGUGACAGGUACCUUGCAGAAGAAGCGCCGGGCUAACUACGUGCCAGCAGCCGCGGUAAUACGUAGGGGCGCGAGCGUUGUCCGGAAAUUAUUGGGCGUAAAAGAAGCUCGUAGGCGGCUUGUCACGUCGGUUGUGAAAGCCCGGGGCUUAAACCCCGGGUCUGCAGUCGAUACGGGCAGGCUAGAGUUCGGUAGGGGAGAUCGGAAUUCCUGGUGUAGCGGUGAAAUGCGCAGAUAUCAGGAGGAACACCGGUGGCGAAGGCGGAUCUCUGGGCCGAUACUGACGCUGAGGAGCGAAAGCGUGGGGAGCGAACAGGAUUAGAUACCCUGGUAGUCCACGCCGUAAACGGUGGGCACUAGGUGUGGGCAACAUUCCACGUUGUCCGUGCCGCAGCUAACGCAUUAAGUGCCCCGCCUGGGGAGUACGGCCGCAAGGCUAAAACUCAAAGGAAUUGACGGGGGCCCGCACAAGCGGCGGAGCAUGUGGCUUAAUUCGACGCAACGCGAAGAACCUUUACCAAGGCUUGACAUACACCGGAAACGUCUGGAGACAGGCGCCCCCUUGUGGUCGGUGUACAGGUGGUGCAUGGCCUGUCGUCAGCUCGUGUCGUGAGAUGUUGGGUUAAGUCCCGCAACGAGCGCAACCCUUGUCCCGUGUUGCCAGCAGGCCCUUGUGGUGCUGGGGAUCUCACGGGAGACCGUCCGGGGUCAACUCGGAGGAAGGUGGGGACGACGUCAAGUCAUCAUGCCCCUUAUGUCUUGGGCUGCACACGUGUCUACAAUGGCCGGUACAAUGAGCCUGGCGAUACCGUGAGGGUGUGAGACUGAAUCUUCAAAAAGCCGGUCUCAGUUCGGAUUGGGGUCUGCAACUCGACCCCAUGAAGUCGGAGUCGCUAGUAAUCGCAGAUCAGCAUUGCUGCGGUGAAUACGUUCCCGGGCCUUGUACACACCGCCCGUCACGUCACGAAAGUCGGUAACACCCGAAGCCGGUGGCCCAACCUCCUUGUG
rnacentral:rRNA from 1 species